GAUGAAGAACGCAGCGAAAUGCGAUAAGUAGUGUGAAUUGCAGAAUUCAGUGAAUCAUCGAAUCUUUGAACGCACAUUGCGGCCAUAGGUAUUCCUUUGGCCAUGCCUGUUCGAGCGUCAUUUACACCCUCAAGCCUAGCUUGGUGUUGGGCGUCUGUCCCGCCGUUUUCGCGCGCGGACUCGCCUCAAAGUCAUUGGCGGCGGUCGUGCCGGCCCCCUCGCGCAGCACAUUUGCGCUUCUCGGAGGCCCGGCGGAUCCGCGCUCCAGCAAGACCUUUCACGACUUGACCUCGGAUCAGGUAGGGAUACCCGCUGAACUUAAGCAUAUCAAUAGCGGAGGA
rnacentral:misc_RNA from 1 species